rnacentral:lncRNA from 1 species
UGUGUUUGCUUCCCUGGUCUCUGGCUAGGAGAGAGUUUCUCCCCUGUUAAGGGGAACUACGUCGCCCUGAUUCUCAUACCAGAUGAGAUACGUAGGUAGGAGAUCGAGUGAGAUCUCUCCGGGCACCUUUUUUUUCUUUUUUGUUGUGUUGUCUUGUGUGUGUCAACCUUUUCUUUUAUCUUUUUUUUUUGUGUGGCAACUAUUAGGCUCGAGUUCCAGAUUCC